rnacentral:rRNA from 1 species
GACGGAGGGUGCAAGCGUUGUUCGGAAUUACUGGGCGUAAAGAGCGUGUAGGCGGUCUGAUAAGUCGAGUGUGAAAGCCCGAGGCUCAACUUCGGAAGUGCACUCGAAACUACCAGGCUUGAGUACGGGAGAGGGAAGUGGAAUUCCUGGUGUAGAGGUGAAAUUCGUAGAUAUCAGGAGGAACACCGGUGGCGAAGGCGGCUUCCUGGCCCGAUACUGACGCUGAGACGCGAAAGCGUGGGGAGCAAACAGG